GAUGAACGCUGGCGGCGUGCCUAAUACAUGCAAGUCGAGCGAACGGACGAGAAGCUUGCUUCUCUGAUGUUAGCGGCGGACGGGUGAGUAACACGUGGAUAACCUACCUAUAAGACUGGGAUAACUUCGGGAAACCGGAGCUAAUACCGGAUAAUAUUUUGAACCGCAUGGUUCAAAAGUGAAAGACGGUCUUGCUGUCACUUAUAGAUGGAUCCGCGCUGCAUUAGCUAGUUGGUAAGGUAACGGCUUACCAAGGCAACGAUGCAUAGCCGACCUGAGAGGGUGAUCGGCCACACUGGAACUGAGACACGGUCCAGACUCCUACGGGAGGCAGCAGUAGGGAAUAUUCCGCAAUGGGCGAAAGCCUGACGGAGCAACGCCGCGUGAGUGAUGAAGGUCUUCGGAUCGCAAAACUCUGUUAUUAGGGAAGAACAUAUGUGUAAGUAACUGUGCACAUCUUGACGGUACCUAAUCAGAAAGCCACGGCUAACUACGUG
rnacentral:rRNA from 1 species